CCUGUAAUCAGGGUCCCGGUCUGGGAGCCUUUGUGCUCCGCUGGCAGCCUGCGUGGGGUGACCGCCCCGUUAGCGGGGUGUGGGUCAGGGUGCCCCUGAAUCGGAGAGAAGGAGCCUCCGUGGGCCUUUGGGACCAGGGCCGCCCUGUAAGCCGGGGCCCGGCCAGUGCCCUGGAGUCCCGGGCGCUUUGCUGUCCAGGCAGCGGCUCGAGCCCCCUGUAAGCAGGGGCGCAGCCUCUUUGGCCGCCGCCUUGCGUGCCCAGCUUGCUUUGCCCGGGGUGCCCGCCUCCGAGCCCGGCUCCAGCACCGGCCGGAGCUCUGCUGUGCACGGCUCAGCAUCUCCACAGAGGAGGAAGCAGUUCGACCCCAGUAUCUAGACAAUCUUUGUAAUCUGUGUCCUGAUUCAUGUCUCUGAUGUCCCUUUUUCAUGCUCUUCAAUGUUCUGAUUUGUCAAUAAAAGGCUUUUUCCAUC